rnacentral:lncRNA from 1 species
AGAGGCCUCUGCUCUGCCAGCCUGGGAGUCAUCUUCACCCUCAGGCUGGUAGACUCCAGUCUCUUAGGUCAGAAUGGGAUUAGAGACCCGUUCCUGAACCAGUCACACACAGCGGGUGAAACUGCUAUGAUUGGUUUAGACUUAGAGACUGGAAUGGAUGCUGUCCCCAGAUAGCAGAUGACUGGUAGGAAGAUGAGGCAAGUUUGCGGUCCAUUGUCAUGGAUAGUGGAGACAACACUGGGCCAGAAGUGGUAAGACCUGAAUCCAAGACUCAGCUCUGCCACUUGCUAAAUGGGACUUUGAAUAAACCAUUUCUCUGCACUUAAGUUCCUUACCAACAAAACGAGGGAAGUGGCCUACAUGCCUAGAUAUCAACAUUUCAUGUCACGUAGAGAUCUAGCAUCACAAGAAUCCAAGUCAUCCUCUGUUGCCUUUAAGAAAUUAGAAUUAAAGGAAUCAGAAUUGAAGUGAAUCUGACUACACUAAGCCUAUCACUUGUGACAGCCAUGGGAAGAUAUCAUUGGUUGCUGAGGAGCAGAAAUAAGCAGAGACCUAUUGUGUUAGGUUAUCAUUCAUUUCAGGACACCAUGGUGUUCACCUUUCUACAACUUUACACUUGCUGAGGACAUAUUGUGGAAAAUUAAGAGAAAUAUAUAUGGAUGGCCAAGGCUGUAGAUGGAUGUCCAAGCCUUUUUACUGGGGAAUGUUUUCAGAACAAAAUGAGUUACAGGUUCAAGAGUGAAACCCAACAAAUCUUGGCUCUUUUUUUCUCUACUAAAUUCCAAAUCAAAA